UCUCCGUUGGUGAACCAGCGGAGGGAUCAUUACUGAGUUACCGCUCUAUAACCCUUUGUGAACAUACCUACAACUGUUGCUUCGGCGGGUAGGCCGUCCCCUGAAAAGGACGCCUCCCGGCCCGGACCGGACCCCCCGCGGGACCGGACCCGGCGCCCGCCGGAGGAUAACCAAACUCUAUUGUAACGACGUUUCUUCUGAGUGGCAUAAGCAAAAUAAUCAAAACUUUUAACAACGGAUCUCUUGGUUCUGGCAUCGAUGAAGAACGCAGC
rnacentral:misc_RNA from 1 species